GACGAACGCUGGCGGCGUGCUUAACACAUGCAAGUCGAACGGAAAGGCUCCAGCUUGCUGGAGUACUCGAGUGGCAAACGGGUGAGUAACACGUGGGUAAUCUGCCCUGCACUCUGGGAUAAGCCUGGGAAACUGGGUCUAAUACUGGAUAUGACCUUUCUCCUUAUGGGGUUUGGUGGAAAGUUUUUCGGUGUAGGAUGAGCCCGCGGCCUAUCAGCUUGUUGGUGGGGUGAUGGCCUACCAAGGCGACGACGGGUAGCCGGCCUGAGAGGGUGAUCGGCCACAUUGGGACUGAGAUACGGCCCAGACUCCUACGGGAGGCAGCAGUGGGGAAUAUUGCACAAUGGGCGGAAGCCUGAUGCAGCGACGCCGCGUGAGGGAUGACGGCCUUCGGGUUGUAAACCUCUUUCAGCAGGGACGAAGCGUAAGUGACGGUACCUGCAGAAGAAGCACCGGCUAACUACGUG
rnacentral:rRNA from 1 species